AACGAACGCUGGCGGCAGGCUUAACACAUGCAAGUCGAGCGCCCCGCAAGGGGAGCGGCAGACGGGUGAGUAACGCGUGGGAACGUACCUUUUGGUUCGGAACAACUCCGGGAAACUGGAGCUAAUACCGGAUAAGCCCUAACGGGGAAAGAUUUAUCGCCGAAAGAUCGGCCCGCGUCUGAUUAGCUAGUUGGUGAGGUAACGGCUCACCAAGGCGACGAUCAGUAGCUGGUCUGAGAGGAUGAUCAGCCACACUGGGACUGAGACACGGCCCAGACUCCUACGGGAGGCAGCAGUGGGGAAUAUUGGACGAUGGGCGCAAGCCUGAUCCAGCCAUGCCGCGUGAGUGAUGAAGGCCUUAGGGUUGUAAAGCUCUUUUGUCCGGGAAGAUAAUGACUGUACCGGAAGAAUAAGCCCCGGCUAACUUCGUG
rnacentral:rRNA from 1 species